GGGUUGGGGCUUGAUAAGGCCUAAGAUAUCAGACCCCUUUAUCAGUUCCAUUGUACUAUGUUUUAUUCACCAUAGGGAGG